rfam:Callithrix jacchus chromosome 11, whole genome shotgun sequence
CGUAAAAUGGCUGAGCAAGCAUUAGAAUGUAAAUCUAAAGACAGAGGUCGAGGCCUCUUUUUACCA